rnacentral:rRNA from 1 species
UACAGAGGUCCCAAGCGUUGUUCGGAUUCACUGGGCGUAAAGGGUGCGUAGGUGGUCGGGUAAGUUUGAUGUGAAAUCUCCGGGCUUAACCCGGAAACUGCAUUGAAUACUAUUCGGCUGGAGGGUUGGAGGGGGGACUGGAAUUCUCGGUGUAGCAGUGAAAUGCGUAGAGAUGUGGAGGAACACCGAUGGCGAAGGCAGCCUCCUGGGCCAGCACUGACGCUCAUGCACGAAAGCGUGGGGAGCAAACAGG